UGCGGUAAUUUGACCGUGCAAAGGUAGCAUAAUCAGUAGUCUUUUAAUUGAAGGCUUGAAUGAACGGUUGGAUGAGAGAGAAGCUGUCUCUUUUAUAAAUUAAAAUUUGACUUUUAAGUGAAAAGGCUUAAAUUGCGUAAAGGGACGAUAAGACCCUAUAAAACUUUAUAAGAGAUUUGUUUUAUUUUUAAAUUCUUCUUUAAAAGUUGUGAAGUAAUUCUUUUAUUUUGUUGGGGCGACAUUGAUAUAAGCUGUAACUGUUUAAAUAAAAACUAUAAUUAUCAUUAUUGUUUGAUCCUUCUUUGUGGAUAAAAAGACUAAGUUACUUUAGGGAUAACAGCGUAAUUUUUUUUGAGAGUUCUUAUCGAAGAAAAUAGUUGCGACCUCGAUGUUGAAUUAA
rnacentral:rRNA from 1 species